UCACAGGCCCCCCUAGGAUGAUGGGGUCAUCUGGUGGCACUGUAGGGAGAGGAGGAGAGAGGUUAAGUUGGGGUGGGCAUCUGUUUGACAUGGCAGGGGAUAAUGGACAAUAACUGCUCUUCAAUAAAGAGUGUCACCCUCUGUGUUAGGGUGAUAGGGACAAUAAUAAAGGGACAUGCUGUUCUUCAACUUGUCAGGAAUAAACACAUGUGGUGACUGGCAGGUAUCCCUAGCCUGCUUCAUAGUCCUGUAAGCAGAGCUUUGUAAUCGAAGUACCAGGAAUUCAUAGGAUCUUUAUUUUCAACCUAAAAAAAAAGGAUUUAUUUUUAAAGAUUGUAUUUUUUAAGAUUUAUUUAUUUUAUGUAUAUGAGUACACUAUAAUUGUCUUUAGACAGACCAGAAGAGGACAUCAGAUACCAUUACAGAUGGUUGUGAGCCACCAUGUGGUUGCUGGGAUUUGAACUCAGAACCUCUGGAAGAGCAGUCAGUGCUCUUAACCACUGAGCCAUCUCUCCAGUCCUAAAGGUCGUAUUUUUAAUUGUGCAUAUGCAUGUGCUUGCACGUAGGUGCCAGUGCUCUGAGGCCAGAGCACUACAUCCUCUAGAGCUGUACUUGUGAGCCACCUGAUGUUUGCACUGGGAACCACACUCUGUCUGGUCCCUGGAAGAACAGCUCUUAAUAACCAAACCAUCCAUCCAUCCAGCUCCAACAUUCUUUUCUUUUGGUCAAGCUUUGUCACGUCUCUCACAGCAGUUUUGCAGGGGAAACAGUAUUUUUAUCUCCAUUACAAAGACCUGGAAACAGAGGCUCACCAAGAGACUUGCUCAAGGUCGUCCCGUGAAUGUACGGCCGAACUGGGGCUGGAAGGCUAGCCUUUGAACCUUGAGCAGGCUGGCCUCUUCCGUCACAGAUGACAGGUGACAGGACAGGCCUUUGGAUCUUUAGAGUUUGCACUUCUGGCCUUUUCUGAUCCCUGCCCUUCACAGUAGCCCCUGCACUUUCAUCCCCACUCAGAAGGAACCUCCUUAACCUGAGAUUAUUUCCCUACAUGUGGUUGGUGAUUGGUGCUUCCGUCAGAGAACCAUAGCGCCAGAAAGGGAAGGACAUGGGCUUGUCCCCUUCCUGUGGAGCAAGUCCCUUUGCAGGGGCAACACAGAAGGCCAUGCCUUGAAGCGUCUCCACAGACAUCCACUGGCUUCAGUGAAUCACCUUUGAUUCCCGUGAAGGUCACACCAUAGGACAGGCAGCAGUGAGUCAAGAGAUGCAGAUGGCAGAGGGUGUCCUGGGUCAGAGGAUGACGGUGACUUACCCAGGACUGUAAGGCGUGCAGGGCGGGACCGGAUGGCAGCCUGGAUGGCCUGGCACUCGUACACAGCAUCGUCCUGCAGCUCAGCCCUCAGGAUCUUCAGGUGAUGCUCUCCUGAGAGGUGGUUCCCCACCACCAGGUACUGGGGGUAGCCUGGGGAGAAAGCAGAGAGCUGUGAGAGAUCCAGGGGGCAUUUGGAGAUGGUGUGGCCCCUUAGACAGAAUGGCCUUUUAAAAGAAAUCUCUCUUGCAAAAGGAAAUAGACAUCUAGUGGACAGUGACUCAGGCAGAGGCCUUCCUGUCUGACUUCUUCCCUUCUGCCUAAGAAAGAUCUUUCUGGAAGGUUGGCUAGGGUGUCUGAUGCCUGGCCUGGGCAGAGCUGACCUCAGGUAUCUCCCUCCAUGUGCUGCUAUCAGAUCUCAACCUUCAGGUCCUUUUCUUAAACCUUUUACUUUAUGGACGGCUCCCACGGUUUCCUCUGUUUGCUUGUGUAUUGCUAAUUUAUCUCAUGGGCUAAAAUGAUUGUGCCUUCAGAGGGAAAAGAGAACAGUAACACUUCCUUUCCUAGCUCAGGGGGAACUGGGGUGGGUACCAGUGACAAAGUGGCCCUUGCUCAGGCCUUGGAUCUCAGUGAAACCCAACAUAAAAGCAAGAAUUUCCCAGCACGUGUGUGUGUGUGUGUGUGUGUGUGUGUGUGUGUGUAUGUGUGUGUGUGUGCUUGUGUGCAUGUGUGUCGUGUGUGUGUGUGCGUGUGUGUCUUGUGUAUGUGUGUGUGUGUGGUGUGUGUUAUGUGGUGUGUGUGUGUAUGUGUGUGUGUGUGCUUGUGUGCGUGUGUGUCAUGUGUGUGUGUGCGUAUGUGUCUUGUGUAUGUGUGUGUGUGUGUGGUGUGUUAUGUGGUGUGUGUGUGUGUGUGUGUGUUGGUGGUUCUAAGUUCUAAGGAAAAUGGGAGAAGUCAGAGUUAGAGACAAAAGCAUGCUGAGCAGGCAGGCAUGGCUAUGGGGUAUUGGCUCUGGGAAGAUGCUAUCCACAUUCAGUAGUGUUUGCUAAUGUGAUGCAGAGAGGGGAGGGGGAGGAGAGGGGGUAAGGAGGGAGAGUGAAUCUGAGAUUCACAAAUAAAAGAGAAAGCAAGAGAAAAACAGAAGAAAAAGGGAUGAGGGAUUUAUUUACUUGGAAGGGGUCAAGAGUGACUUCGGCAGGGAAGUUUUGUCCCAGGAAUCUAAGAGGACAGGCCAUCUAGGAAAGCUGGACACCAUACACCAUGCAGCAUACCUUCCCAUUUCUGGGCAUUCCCACCUCCCAUCUCCAAACCCCAGGGCCUGAUUAAGCACUUAGGAGGCACUCAGGACACUUAGGAAUUUGGGGCCUCAGUACAUACACACUGGUGAUGAAUAAUAGAUAAGUAAAAGUUUGAAGACGAUGAAUCAUUCAGCAGCUGCUGCGGCCAGCAGGCUGAAUGCAAACACUGACUGCAGCCGUGGCCAUAGACAGGCCUUUGCUCUUUCUGUGGUCUUUGGCCCUAAGCCUCUUCGUUUGUCCUAUCAGGGUGUUAUCCUUCUACCCCCUCACCUGAGACCUUCUCUCCUCACAACCCUUGCACUAUGGGGUUAUGCAUGGGCUCCUUCUUUUGGGUCUGCCCUGGUUACCUUCUCUCCUCAGACCCCGCUCUGGAUAAGCUAAGGGUGGAUGAGGGAUGGGACAGGCUGGGUGACUGUACCAGGACCCAUCAGUGCCCAUCCUUGGUCGUUGAAGUAGGGAUCCAUGGUCUUCUGUAGGCUUGCCAGCAUGUUCUGUGGGCUCUUCAACAACUGAGUCCAUGCUGUCCUCAUCAUGACACUAAAGGACCCUGCCCUCAGCAGGGCCUUCCAAAACUGAUGCCAAGGAUCAGCUGUACCCAAGGAGGACCCUGCCUACCCAUCUCCCACAUUCCUGCCUUCUGAUGGGCAAAGGGAAUAAGCCGAAGCAGGUGAAGCUGGGCCCGGCCAACUGCUGCUGGCCUCUGUGUUGCUGCCCUCCAGCCCAGCCCCCGUCCUGCUGUUCUGCAAUUAGGUCUGUCCCCGCAGGCAUCUUGGAUGGAACUGUGGGUUUUUGUUGUUGUUGUUGUCUUACAAGCCAUCAGCAGCAGGAUUUCACUCUCAUGAGUUGUGGAAAACAUCAGUGAUAGUUUUGUUUGUAUUUGCCUAAUUAGGCAGGGAGCUGCGAUGCUAUCUCAAGGACUGGCAGCUUCUUCGGAAAACACACACAGGAAGGAGCACAGCUGCGGAGGAAUCUGUAGCUCUGUCCAUGGUAUCCUCGGAGGAGGCAGAGAUUCAGAGCCUCUAGGUUCUAGACGUGGUGGGUAGGUUCAAACUCCAGCUCAUCUCUUCCUUGCUCUGUUACCUGGAGCUUUAGCGCCAUUGUGUCUCAGCUUCCUUAUCAGCAAGGUAGGGGGCUCAUAGGUGAAAAUUACAGCAGGAUAAUCUAUAUAAGCCGGCUUUGAACUUAUGUCCAUUUCACACUAACCUCCCCGAGCGCUAAAGUUACAGGUAUCAGCUACCACGUCUAGCCUACCCUCUCUCUAUACAUGCUAAUUUAAAUCCAAAUGAUGGCAGGGCAAAGGGGAUGGCUCAGUGGGUAGAACGCUUGCUGUGCAAGCAUGAGGAUCUGUGUUCAGACCCUUAGCACCCCCAAAGUUGGGCAUGGUGGUAUUAGGGGUAAGGAACAGAGACUAGUAGAUCCCAGGGGCUUACCGUCCAGUCAGCAUAGCCAACUGGUGAGCUCUGGGUUGAGUGAGAGAAGCCGUCUCAAAAAAUAGGUAGAGACUGAAGAAAACACCUAACAUGGACUGCUGGCCUGUUCUAUAAAGGUGAUUUGAAUGGAGAUGCUUCCCUAGGCUCAGCAAGAGUAGCACUAAUGGGGGGUGUGGCCUUGUUAGAGUAAGUGUGGUUUUAUUGGAGGAAGUGUGCUGCUGGGGGUAGGCUUUGAGGUUUCAAAUGCUCUUCCUGCUGCCUGAGGAUCCAGAUGUGGAACUCUCAGCUCCUUCUCCACACCAUGUCUACCUUUAUGCUGCCAUGCUUCCCACCGUGAUGCUACUGGACCAAACCUCUGAAACCGUAAGCCAACCCUAGCUAAGUGCUUUCAUUUGUCAGAGCUGCUGUGGUCAUGGUGUCUCUUUACAACCAUAGAAGCCCCAAGACAAUAUACAUGGGUACACUUACCUAUACAACAUGCAUACAUGCAUAUCACACACACACACACACACACACACACACACACACACACACACACACACACAGAGAGAGAGAGAGAGAGAGAGAGAGAGAGAGAGAGAGAGAGAGAGAGAACAAAUGGUAGGGAGGUAGAAAGAGGUGCCUGUCCUAGGAAGGGAGCAGACAGGUUCUCAACCAAUUAGACUGUUAGAUAGUUGAGUCAAUUUAUUUUUCUUCAACUGUUUACUCUGUAGCAUUUUCAAUUAAAGGGAGUUGUAAUCUUUCCCUCCCUUUGGACUUCAAUCAUAGAUUUAUGAGACAUCUGAGAAGUGCUUUUUAGGAGAAAAAUGCUCUGUUUGCACCUGAGAAUGUGCUGGCAAACAUUUUCUUUCUGGUGUCUCAACCUUGGUGACCAGAAAGACACCAAUGUGUCAGUGAGAGACUCACGUCUGGUAUACUGAGUGGGGCAACACAGUUAAAAUGGAAGAGGACAGAGCCACAGCAACAGGAAGUCCUGUGACACUAGCCCUCAGUUUCCCUCUUAUGCACUCACCAAAUCUUUGCUGACUUCAGCUGUGUUCCAUUCUGACCCUUUUGUACCAGGCCAGCAAGGGGUAGGUAUGGAACCUGUGAGAAUCUGCCAUUAUGGUCAGGAUGGAGUUUUUGUGGGUAGAUGAUUAAAUGCUCAAGCCAGGCCCAAGCCACUUUCAUGCUUCCCACUAUGAUGAUACUGGCCUAAACCUCCGAAACUGUGAGCCAACCCCAGAUAUUUCUCAAGAGCCUGAGCUUAUGGGUGCCACAGCAGAGCGUUUAGGACCUGUCUUCCUCAGAGUCUGAGUCAGGAUGGAGAGGAAGCCAGGUCAGGACAUGGGUCAACUUGUCUUUAGCACCAGCACCCAGAUCCUGAAUCCUAGAGAACCAGGAAUGGAACCUCAGAUCAGAAAUACAAUUAUCUGUGCCUUGAUGUCAAUUCUAUGAUCUGUUCUUAGUGACCUGGGACCUCCACUUGGUCACUGACCUGAUGAGACAAGGUCCCGACAAGAGGCUGAUAACCAUUGACAGUCCUCAUGGCUCAUGGCUGUCUGGAGCAUAAGCAACUCUCAUUUGGGAAGAUUGUUGCCUUCCCCCAUCUCUCCAGGGUACCAGAGCUGAGCAUCUCUGAAGCUGGCUGGCUCCCAUAACACUUAAACUCUAUGGCAGCACAGUAUAUUUUGGAGAUAUUCUCGGGUAUUUUAUCUCUGCUCAGCUGGGCUGCAGCAUUAGGCCCGUGACUGCUAUUGACCACCACCAUAAUGUUUCAAUAUACAUUUUUUUUGGCAAGACAUAACUCAUACUUUAAAAUAUUAAUUUCCCAGCCCUGCGGUGUUUCCGAGUGCACUUCGAUUUUUAUUUUCCUGCAGCUGUACAGUGUGAACGAGGUAAAAGUACUUCCCAGUUGAAUGCAUACGUCUCAUCCAUUCUCUACCCCUCGACGUUCCCAGAUGGCAGGUUCUUGCUGACACCAAAACAAGAAGGAAGAAAAGACAAGACAAAAGAGGAAGAGGAGUGAAGGGAAGAGCCAUAAAGCAGUGGUUCAUACAGGGAGAAGGGAGAGAGGAGGAGGAAGAUGGGAAGAGGGAGAUGGGAGGAGGGAGAUGGAGGAGGGAGAUGGGAGGAGGGAGAGAGGAGGAGGAAGAUGAGAGGAGGGAGAUGGGAGGAGGGAGAGAGGAGGAGGGAGAUGGGAGGA